GACGAACGCUGGCGGCGUGCUUAACACAUGCAAGUCGAACGGAAAGGCCCUGCUUUUGUGGGGUGCUCGAGUGGCGAACGGGUGAGUAACACGUGAGUAACCUGCCCUUGACUUUGGGAUAACUUCAGGAAACUGGGGCUAAUACCGGAUAGGAGCUCCUGCUGCAUGGUGGGGGUUGGAAAGUUUCGGCGGUUGUGGAUGGACUCGCGGCUUAUCAGCUUGUUGGUGGGGUAGUGGCUUACCAAGGCUUUGACGGCUAGCCGACCUGAGAGGGUGAUAGGCCACACAGGCACUGGGACAGGGGCAAGAGGACUACGGGAGGGAGCAGGAGGGAAUAGGCGGGAAUGGGGGGAAGCCGGACGGAGCGACGGCGAGUGAGUGAUGAAGGUCUUGGGAGCGUAAAACUGUGUUAUGAGGGAGGAACAUAUGUGAAAGUACAUGUGCACAUCGUGACGGUACCUAAUAAGAAAGCCACCGCUACCUACGUC
rnacentral:rRNA from 1 species